CCUACGGGCGGCAGCAGUAGGGAAUAUUGCUCAAUGGGGGAAACCCUGAAGCAGCAAAGCCGCGUGGAGGAUGAAGGUUUUCGGAUUGUAAACUCCUUUUGUUAGAGAAGAUAAUGACGGUAUCUAACGAAUAAGCACAGGCUAACUCCGUGCCAGCAGCCGCGGUAAUACGGAGGGUGCAAGCGUUACUCGGAAUAACUGGGCGUAAAGCGCGCGUAGGCGGGAUAGCAAGUCAGAUGUGAAAGACUAUGGCUUAACCAUAGAAUUGCAUUUGAAACUGUUAUUCUAGAGUAUGGGAGAGGUAGGUGGAAUUCUUGGUGUAGGGGUAAAAUCCGUAGAGAUCAAGAGGAAUACUCAUUGCGAAGGCGACCUGCUAGAACAUAACUGACGCUGAUGCGCGAAAGCGUGGGGAGCAAACAGGAUUAGAUACCCUUGUAGUC
rnacentral:rRNA from 1 species